rnacentral:rRNA from 1 species
UGGGGAAUUUUGGGCAAUGGGCGAAAGCCUGACCCAGCAACGCCGCGUGAAGGAUGAAGUAUUUCGGUAUGUAAACUUCGAAAGAAUAGGAAGAAUAAAUGACGGUACUAUUUAUAAGGUCCGGCUAACUACGUGCCAGCAGCCGCGGUAAUACGUAGGGACCAAGCGUUGUUCGGAUUUACUGGGCGUAAAGGGCGCGUAGGCGGCAAUUCAAGUCAUCUGUGAAAUCUCCGGGGCUUAACUCGGAACGGUCAGAUGAUACUGCUUUGCUAGAGUGCAGAAGGGGCAAUCGGAAUUCUUGGUGUAGCGGUGAAAUGCGUAGAUAUCAAGAGGAACACCUGAGGUGAAGACGGGUUGCUGGGCUGACACUGACGCUGAGGCGCGAAAGCCAGGGGAGCAAACGGGAUUAGAUACCCAAGUAGUCCCUGAGCGGGCUGGCAAGGCGCAU